rnacentral:rRNA from 1 species
CGCGUAGGCGGCUCCGUAAGCGGGUGGUGAAAGCCCGGGGCUCAACCCCGGGUCGGCCAUGCGAACUGGGGAGCUGGAGCACGGUAGAGGCACAUGGAAUUCCGGGUGUAGCGGUGGAAUGCGUAGAGAUCCGGAAGAACACCGGUGGCGAAGGCGGUGUGCUGGGCCGUGGCUGACGCUGAGGCGCGACAGCGUGGGGAGCAAACAG